rnacentral:rRNA from 1 species
UCCCUUAGAUGUCCUGGGCCGCACGCGCGCUACACUGACAUGUUCAACAAGUUUCUCCUAGUUCGACAGGACUGGGAAAUCUUUGAACGCAUGUCGUGAUAGGGAUAGAUCAUUGCAAUUAUUGAUCUUGAACGAGGAAUUCCUAGUAAACGCGAGUCAUCAGCUCGCAUUGAUUACGUCCCUGCCCUUUGUACACACCGCCCGUCGCACCUACCGAUUGAAUGUUUCGGUGAAGAUUCCGGAUAGGACUGAUUUGAUUUAUUUCAUUUCUGACCUAAAAGCUAUCUAAACCUCAACAUUUAGAGGAAGGUGAAGUCGUAACA